UUAUACCGCAUUGAAUAUCUCCAGCACGGUCGCUCUGGCUCUCGGGAGUUGUAGUCUUCCUUCCCUCUGUAUAGUGGUUCUUCUAAUGGGCUGCUUGCUGGGACCCAGCUGAGCUGAAGUGCCAUUGAUUGCUGUGUAAUUUGUGGAAGCAGAAGAGGAAACUAGUCCACGUUUUCAAGAUCACCAGUCCUCCACUGUACAGAAGACCAAACGUUGGGCCUCCUGAAAUUUUGUAUUUUAGAAAGUGGAACUCUUCUUGGUUGCUUGUACUUGA